rfam:Methanohalophilus mahii DSM 5219, complete genome.
GCUGAGGUAGCCAAGCGGCCCACGGCGCCGGUCUUGAAAACCGGUGGUGCUCUGCGCCCCGGGAGUUCGAAUCUCCCCCUCAGCG